GACUACCGGGGUAUCUAAUCCUGUUUGAUCCCCACGCUUUCGUGCCUGAGCGUCUAUAACAAAUUCGUAACCUGUCUUCACGAUCGGUGUUCUGUGUUAUAUCUAUGCAUUUCACCGCUACAUAACACAUUCCAGCUACGUCAUUUGUAUACUAGUCUAACAGUAUCAAUGGCACGAUACAUGUUAAGCAUGUAAAUUUCACCACUGACUUAUUAGUCCGCCUGCGCACCCUUUAAACCCAAUAAAUCCGGAUAACGCUUGCAUCCUCCGUAUUACCGCGGCUGCUGGCACGGAGUUAGCCGAUGCUUAUUCUAUAGGUACUUGCAAUCAACUACACGUAGCUGAUUUUACUCCCUAUUAAAAGCAGUUUACAACCCGUAGGGCCGUCUUCCUGCACGCGGCAUGGCUGGGUCAGAGUUGCCUCCAUUGCCCAAUAUUCCUUACUGCAGCCCCCCGUAGG
rnacentral:rRNA from 1 species